ACCCUGUUGGGGUGUGAGAAUACACGUGUUGCCUCCAAGUUCAAGUGUGUGCUUCCGUGGAACCCACUUGACAUGUACCGGGCUAGUGAAGUAUGCUGGUGGCAAUUUGCAUAUAAGCCAAUCCCAUAGAGAAGUGGGCUUGGCAGAUAGCCCCACCACCAAGCACUGCACUUCCGUGUUUGGCGGCCAUGUAUGACCUCUAAAUGUCGCUUUUUCAGUGACUAAGCAUUAUACAAUGCUACUGAUCCUUCCUUAAUUAUAAUUAUAUUUAUUUAUUAAUUACCUUACCCUGGUUUUUUUUUUUUUACAAAAUAGCCAAGCAGAUGUAUUUUUUACAUAUCCAUCUCUCCACGGAUUUCUUACACAACUCAUCAGCCACAUGACAUUCUCGGAAUUUAUCAUUUCAACAGCAUUUUUUCUCGACAAGUAAACUGGUCGAUUUCGACAUCCGCUGUCUCAUCAGCAGUCAGGCUUGCUGGAAUCAAUGCUCGUGAACUGUUGCACUUAGAGACAAGGACCCCUUACGCUGCGGGUCCUAGGUGCGAGUAAGACGCUAAGUUAUAUUGCAACACAUGGCUCUAAACAACCACAAGCAUCGCUGUGGGAAAUAUACAUCAGCAUUUUUUUCGCACACAAUGUCUCGUGCUCUAAACAACCACAAGCAUCACUGUGGAAAAUAUUAAUCAGAAUGUUUUUCGCACACAAUGCCCCGUGCACAUAUCUGUAUUUCCAUAUAUUAAAACGAAUCUUACAAACCCAUAGUAGGGAUGCCCAGCCACCUCGGUUCAAAAUUGGCCAUCACUACACCUUGCGAAUUCGUUAUGGGGCAGUGCAAUUGAGGAGUUUGAGUUGUUGGCUUCGAAGCGUUUGAGUGCUGCAUGGUGAAGGCGUGCGCGUAUUUCUUGCUGGAGGUUUGAGGAACUAAGCCCUCUUCUCUGCAGCCCCCUGAGGACGGCGGAAGACGGAGGCGGGCGGAAGUCUGCUGACUUGGGCAGCGCGGGAUGGAUAAAGGCAGCGAACCCGCGUCAUUGCAGACACGUGAGACAGGAGACGGGAGACUUGUGAGACAGGAGACUUGUGAGACAGGAGACGAGAGACUUGUGAGACAGGAUACUUGUGAGACGAGAGACAGCCGUACAAGAUGUUACCCACACAUUCCCUUUGGCUGUUGCUUCUUAUUUUCAGUCAGCGCGAUGUGGGUCCGUGCUGUGCAGUCAACAUGGACGCAACAGGAGAGGGACAGGAGGUUCGCUGCUCUGGUUACGAGAAGGCACUCACCCCGAGCGUCAACCUCGGAAGGGUCGUGUGGCACUACAAGCCAGCCAGCGGACAAGUUCCUUAUUACACUUACCUUAUCGACUACAACUACAACACCAAACUCACAGACACGCUGUCAGGAACGAAUUUUUCCGACAGAAUCAAGAUCUUAACCGAGGGCAAUUCAAAGAAUUCUCUCUUCAUCAAAUCUUUUAAUGCGAAUGACGGUGGCAUCUACACGUGCAAGAUCUAUGGGGAUGGGUUUAAGUUGUUAUACAUGACAUCAGUGACUCUACCCAUGGGUAAGUCGACAUCAACUCAUACUCUUACUGCGCGUGGCAUUCACACCAUUUUGACAGCGCAGACCAUCACGAAGGCACCGAUGCGGUUCACAUACGGGUAUAGUCACGGUAGGGGGUGAUGCUGCAAAGUGGCGAUACCUACAUAAGGACAUUUGCGAGUAUUUUUUUAAUUUGGUACAACUUGCCCGUGACACUGGCACACAUGGCAUUUAGGGUGAACACACCUCCGCAGGUGAACACACCCCCGCUGGUGAACACACCCCCGCAGGUGAACACACCCCCGCAGGUGAACACACCCCCGCAGGUGAACACACACCCCCGUGGUGUCGCCACGCACGGUGAUCAUCAUCGGCACGGCUGUGCGCAGAGUACUGAGGGACGUUUUCUCGUUACGCGCAGGACAGCAGCGGUGGCUCCGUGGCUCUUGGCGUGCCACCAAGAGGUGGAGCACCUUGAGUUGCCCUUACAACCACCGGGUGCAGGAGGAGGAGGAGGCAGCGUUGUUUUUAUGAGGCUCAAGUAAAACUGGAAAACCCCAUCAUGGUUGAACGUUCAUUCAUCUUCCAGCUAAACGUUAAGGCUCUUACUCGCUAAUAUUUCCGAUUGAGAAACAUUUGCAAUCCGAUACAGCAUGUCCACGUGAAAUUGCCCACACGCUGUACGCUCCAUCCUCCCUGUGGCGCUCACUUCUCUUCCUUCCCCUUGACACGCUUCUUCGUCUGCAGCACGACCCUAAAACAACGUUGCCCAACGUUGUCCCGACAGCUCCUUCGCUAUGACAACACCUGGCUGACGAACCGCGGAUAUCUUGAUCCCUGAACUGGUGCUGGUGACAUUGCGGCUCCUGCGUAAGUCUGUUGUCACUGACGGUUGUUUUUUUCUUUGUUUGUAUCCCCUGUGAUUUUUCCAUGGCAUCCGCGAUGGGCACCACGGGAACAAAACGCAUCUCUCAGCAAAGAGCGGCGUCUUUCCACUAAUCGUGGGGGCCGCCGCCGCUGCGCUUUUAGUGAUUGUCACGUCCAUCAUCAUCUGCUGCUGCGUACGCAAACGACGGAAAGUCGCUCAAAAGAGAAGAGAGGAAAAUGCCUACACACAUCUCAGAGGGCACGACCCAAAUAAUGCAGGAACGGAGGAAUCCCACUACGAAAUGAUCGACGUGCAUGAUGAACGUGAUUCCACUCAGGGCGCUGAAAAGGGAUCUGAUCAUAUCCAUGAAACCCCCUACGAAACUUUGAAGCAACAUGUGGCCAAUGAAGGCGCUUAUGAAACCCUUGCACCAACUGGAAAAGACGCAGCAGCCCCCGAAAGCCACGGCAGCCCCAGCAGCUCAUAAAUUGAUAAAAAAUGCAAGUACAAGUCAUCAUGUUCCUUCGCCAUAGAAAUACGAGCUUUAAAAUAAAGAGCCGGCCUGUGUAUCUUGACAAAUCCGUCCUAGCACCCUUCCCCAGGCCAGCGGCAGCAGAUUGUUGUUGACCUCCAAUGGACUUCUUCACACCGAGCCACAAGCCGUCCUCCCUUCCCCCAUCCGCCGGUGCGGAAUGGACGCUGUUUGUGUCACGACAAACCGCGCACACGAGUGUCACCUUUGUUCGUACAAACCGUGCACAAAUGUAAACGAAACAACAUCAUUCAUAGCCCUUUGGCAAGCCACUGGUGGCUGAAGGCCUCCCUGUGCCUUGUCAGUCAUAGGUGUUGCUCGACCUAACUUCACCACGCUGGUCGGUUAGUGAAGGGGGGGGGGUCUCAGAACCAGCACGGAUGUCACUCGCCACCGAUACUAGCCGUGGCCAGCGAUCAAACCUCGUUCAUGAUGGCAGUGCGCUAACCACCUUGGCACCGCAUCGCUCAUUUGCUGUUUAACCGCUGUUGACUAUAGAUUCAUAACACCACAAUACAUGCUUCAAAUUGACACAGCAGUUACUGCACUGCGCUCAGAACCCGGCAUGCUAAGAUUGAAUCCCGGCCACGGCUAACAACAGUGGCAAGUGACAUCGGAACAAAUCAUGAACCCUUCUACUUUCACAAACCCACACUGACCAGUGUGGUGAAGUAUGGUCAAUACCCCCAAGGCUCGCAUGGCAAGGGGGGGCCCACAUGCAGCAGUUGAUUGACAAAGGGCCGCACACGUGUCAAAUGUAAUGAGUUAAGAUCACCCGUGCAGCCACGAGAUGAAUUCCCAUUCACGGUAAUACUCAAGUAGAAUUUAAUCUUGAACAAUAACCCUGAAUAUCGUCCCACCUCUACCGAGGAACAAUUUUUUUUGAUAGUGUUGCACAGAAAUCUAUUUACAACUAUUAUUUCAGUUGAGAGGACUUCUUCACUCCCGGUUUGAACUUAAUUUGUCUCGCCAUGUUCAAUACGGAAGUUCAUAAAGUAUUAUUACUGUUAUUGUAAAGCAGCAGCAUUUAUCAUUUGUGUGAACUUAACAUUGUAACUCCAGAUCACCACAUUGGUGACAUCAGGUGACCGCACGUUGUUUCCACUUUCAUGUACAGUGCAAGCAGCACUUUUAACUUAGUCAUAUGCCAUUCAGAGUGAGGCCAUCAACACUUUUUAAAAGGAGGCACUAUCAAUCGGUAAUCAAAGAUAAAACAAAAAUUCGGCCUGCAAUCUGUAAUGAUAUCCCCUGCAGCCUCCCUCGCAAUGUAAUACAUUCUUACGAUUCGAGGUCAUAGUGAUAAUCCAAUUACUAAUUACAUGCACCAGACAGCUGGAAAAAUAAUCAAUCGUCAUAACAUUCAAUGCAGGCAUCAUGAUCCUGAGACUCAAAUGUAAUCGACAAAUCCAUGUAUCUUUGCACCCUUAACAACAACAACCCUUACCAUGUCAAUACUUCAGAGUACACACUCCACACCAUCCAGCCUCUCUCCUGCACAAGCCCGGCGCCUUCAUUGGUACUGCAAGUCGGAUGCAGGGACAUUCGAUCUAUCGGAGGUCGUGCUCAGCUGCAUCCACUCCUGAACCUCACCCAACCCGCCACCACGUCCCUCUUUGUCUUCUUCUUGCCCUUCUACCUUUGAUUUUGCCGAGGAGGAGUUGGCAGUCGGGCCCCUUGUGAGCGUCGCUCUGCUUGUCCGCAGUGCACACCACCUUCCUCCAUCCGACUCCACGUCCGACCUACGUGGAGUCCCAGUAUUUGUGACACUUCCCUGUUCAUCAUUAUUCUUCUCCAUCCUCUUGUCAAUAUCUCACGAACGUAAAAAUGUAAACGCUUCGUUCACAUACAGUCAAAAGACAAAGUGAUUUCCUGCUUUCAGAGCCUCAAAGCAGUGCUCAUCUGCUGUUUACAGGCCGGAGCUGAUGGUGGAAAUUCCACAUUCUUAAGGAGGAGGCAUGUCUAUCCAUAGGACACCAACUGUUGACUUCCCCACAAAGUAGUAUUCUUUUAUCAACCCUAGAGGGAUGAUGGGCUGAUUCAACCCCCAGCCUGGAAGUGAACUCAUCACGUUACGAUUGCAAGCCGCCCACUCGAGCACUAAGCCUGAAACAGGACACGAUCCUGUGACUGUGAAACCUCUGACACGAAUGUCAACACCAGCCUGCAACACCCAGUGGCAGCGUGUAUGGUGAGAUUUCGAUAAAUACCAUGGAAAAAACCCCGGCAAGAAACCUCACACGGGACUGUCAAUUGUGUAUUCUUAAAUGUUGGCUCACUAUUACCGUUCACUAACGCGUACCGUAAUAUGUGAUGUGUAAUAUAGUUUAUAUUUAUUAACAAACACGAAUUAUUACUAUUCCCAGUUGCGGCCUGUCAAUGGGGGCCUCACUCGUGAUAAUGAAGGAAAAAUAAACCUCCCGAGCAAGAGGCAAGCUGUACAGCAUUACCAUGAAUGCAUGUAUAGAGGAUCAAACAAAUACAUUUUGAUUGCUAAUUUUAUUCAAAUUGGUGGAAUCUACACUAUAACCAACCGCCACACUGCAGGUCGAAAUUCUCGGCUUCUUCCCUCGCACUGAUCCAUUUUGGAAUCCCAUCUCAUCGCCUCUUUUUGCAGGUUCUUGAGUAAAUAGGCGCGUGCCACGCUCGUCUCUUAAACCUUCAAUCGUGCUGGUUGUUGCUGGCCACUUGGCAUUUUGGGCCUUUCAGCCUUUGCUUAGCAUUCUUGGGAAUAAAUAUAUGUGAUACAUUUCUUGGCAAUUUGUUUAACCAAAAGUUUAUAAUUAGUUUAAGAAUUGAUUCUGCUUUUGUUGAAUAUUUUUUUUCAUAUUUUUGUAUUAAAUGAAAUAAGGCUCAAAGAUAUUUCUCGAGUCGUUGAGCCAGGAUGUAUCACAUGUAUCACAGGACUCUCAUCGUUCUCUCAGCGCGUGCGUUCGGGUCGUUGGGCACGAUGUCCGACGUUUUGUUCCGCGUGCCGCGACCAACAGAAAACAGACAGCCAUCAGCAUAACAGCGACAACCUACUCAGUGGCAUUAUAGAGAUGUCAAAACCCGUGAUAUUUUAUUGUAAAUAGGUCAACGUCCCACGGCUGUGUCUUGUUUUGUUGCCACACGAAUAUUUGCUUUGAAGCCAUUCUACUUACAAACAAGUCAAGCUCCAUGUAUUAGUAAGUUAGCAAAUGCUGGUUUAACUAUGCCUUAUGUACCCACAGCUAUAAUCACGUAUAUAAAUGUAAUACCACGCUUCAGCUGGUACCAUGGUAGUGCACUGCGACUCGCAGGCCACCAGCUCGGUUCAGCCUCCUGGCGCGGUGGUUGAAACAGCGGGGUGGAGUUUAUUUUUAUUUUUAAAUCCCCGAACCCACGCCUCUGUCCUCCACCCAACAGUGUAAGUCGACAGGCCACGGUCACGUGUGGUGGGGCAAAGCGUGGGCAAUUCCCGCAUGGAAGAGUAGGCCCAAAACCCCCUCUAGAGGGGGCUCACCAGAGCUCGCUGUAGUAGAGGCCUUUCCGCCAGCAGUCGUGUGAGCCAGAAAUUUCAGGGCUGUGCUUUUUUUACACAGUUUCUACAAUUUUACAAUUAUUGUGUUAAAUUAUAUCAAAAUAGUUUUUUGUUACUGUUAUUGUAAUGUGUGUAAUAUGUGUUACUAAUACAUUUAUCUUUUUGUGAUAUUAAAAAAACCAAGCUCUGCUUUUCUUAAAACGUAAGCAUUUUUAUUUUAAACAAAAAUCCUCGCUGUAGUUUAAAAAGGUACGAUAUUACAUUUUUAGGAAGCUUUUUUUCAAGAAACUUGUGGUUAUUAAAAAAGUUGUUACUGUA